CAGCAGCCGCGGGAAUACGUAGGGUGCAAGCGUUAAUCGGAAUUACUGGGCGUAAAGCGCGCGUAGGUGGUUUGGUAAGAUGGAUGUGAAAUCCCCGGGCUCAACCUGGGAACUGCAUCCAUAACUGCCUGACUAGAGUACGGUAGAGGGUGGUGGAAUUUCCUGUGUAGCGGUGAAAUGCGUAGAUAUAGGAAGGAACACCAGUGGCGAAGGCGACCACCUGGACUGAUACUGACACUGAGGUGCGAAAGCGUGGUGAGCAAACAGGAUUAGAUACCCGCGUAGUCCCUGUCUCUUAUAC
rnacentral:rRNA from 1 species